GGAGCCCAGCGCCCUCUCCAAGGGCUUCCCAACAAGGACGGAGUGGGGGGAUUCCUCCCACCUGCUCUGCUCAGGGCCUCACUGCACCGUAAGAAGAAGAACCAGGGGGCACCAUCAGCAGCACCAAGAGAAACCAGUGAGCCUGAAAGGCUGCAAAGCCAGGGCUGCGGGCAGUGUCUUAGGGGAGGAAGGGGCCUUGGUGGGGUCUCUGGGAGGUCACCGAGUUUGUCCACAGUUUCCAGGGUUCCUGGGAGGGUGAGGCAGGAGGUGGAGGCAGGCAAAGCGAAAUGGCCGGAGCCACAGGCCAGGUAAAGGCCCAGAGCCUCCCGCCAGGGUCCCAGCGUCCCAGGUUUCUGCCACGAGUCCCUCAGUGGCCGUCUUCCCACAAAGGCAUGGCCCAGGGGCAACACAACUGCUCUCAUGUUCCCAACUCCUGCCUGUUUUCCAGAACUGUUUCUCUAAUUCCAUCCCAACACCCCCUCUCCUUUCAGGCCUGCUUCCCCGCCUCCCCCAGCCUGCACUCCCCUCCAAGGCCCUAGCUCAGAGACCAGCCUUCCUGAGAUGGCUCACACCAGAAACAUGUCUGCUAAUUCUCCCCCUGCCUGACUGGCGGUUUCUGCAGAGACGGGAAUUCUUGGAGCAGACGCCCUUGGAGAGGCAGAAGGGUUGAGUUGGAACCUUCCAGAAGAUGCUCAAUUGCUUCAGCUCUCUGAUUCAGGAGGAAGAAGGCAAGCGUCCAGCUCGGAGGCAGAAAUCAUGUUCUGGCUGACAUCGCACUGUCCCCUGCCUUAGGUGACCUGGGAAGACUGUGCCUGAGGGGACACAUGGGAGAAGAGAUGCCUGCCAUCUGGCCUCAGCUGAUAAAGACUGAUCUUCUGUGCACCUUCACCAAGGCUGCCAAGUACAGCUGUGUAGGAUGUGCACUGCACAAGGGUGUCUGGGUGGGGCUGAACUCACCAAGCCUUCCCUCUGUCUCUGCCACUGGAGAGGGGUCUUCUACUUCUUACAAAGGCACCAUCUGGCCUAGGAGCUGCCUUACACCUCCCCCAGGAGGGAAACUGAGCUGAUGAGGCUUCCUAGGGUCAUCUGGACCCACUGAAUGGCCUGCACACCCCCAAAGUCCUUGGCUGCCAGGAGCUGGGCUGUGGCCAUACUCUACUGUGGGGGCAGUGAGCUGACGAAACAGGCCCUUCAUGGGACCACCUUCUCAUCAGGCCCUGGUCCCGUGCUCCACUGCCUCCAGCAUUAGUUCAUCUUGGCCACCACUGUCUCAACAUGUGACUGUAACAAACAAACCACCGAAAAAGUACCUCUUAGAGAACAUGCUGGGGCCAAGGAGCCAAGGGGUCAAGGGGUCAAGGGGCCAAGAGCAUGGGAAGGUGUUAUGGACAAGGAGAGGCACAGGUCUGAGCACCAGGGCCGCUGGGAGGGGCCGGUCAGCGCAGGUGAGACAAAGCCCCGACUAGGAAGUUGGGGGGCUGCCCCCCUGCAACUCCCAUCCAGGCGCCUGGUUCCCAUGGAAGCCCUGAGGGAGGAGGCAUUUGUGCCAGUCUGGGCAGGGGUUGGUCAGCUCCAGGGCCCCAGGGGUCUGCUUCCCUCCAGAAGCCCCUCCCUGGGUCCCAGCUCUUGCAUAAGCUGGGGACAAGGGAGUGACAUGAGAGAAUGAUUGUGAAUCUGGCUCCCGUGGGAAUGAAGGGGUCCCUUCCUGACACACAGGAGCCUGGUGGAAGCUGGUGGAAGCUGGUGGCGUCAGGGACCUCAGAGGUCAUCUGAGCCACAUAGCCCUUCAUGCUACCUGCUGAUGGGGGGACGGAGGCCACGAAAGGAGCGGGCUGGCAAGUUAGGGUUUGAGCUGGGACCAGAGCUGAGGGCCCAGGUUCCCAGGGACUCGAAGGUGACCACCCCCAUGGAACCCUUUCCUUGGGCCCCCUAGGCACUUGUGCCACCAGCCUCUUGGACCCUCACCAUUCCUUCAUGAGGCAGCGGCACAGCUACGACCGCUUUUCUCCUGUGCGCAGCCCUGGCGCCUGGAAGAACAGAAUCAAUCAUUCCAGGUCUCACUGCUGCUCACCUGUGUUUUCCCGUUUUGUACAAUGCUUACACCCUGCUUUUACAAUAUUGAAAGAGAAAAUCCAUCCUUUUGGACACCAAGCAAUAUCCUGCUGAUCUCACAAGACUAUUUAAGGAGCAAAAUAAACAGGAGAAAAUA